GAGAAAAUUGGUGGAUUUCAAGUAAUCAAGCAAUCAAAGGUGGUGAGCCUUCUAACAAAAGUAAAGACGUUGUGUCAGAAGACUGAGAAUAGGAGUAUUUCAAACUCCUGAUACAGCUCAGGAUAGUCGGUAGAUAGCUCAUUUCGUUGAG